rnacentral:rRNA from 1 species
GCACGUAGUUAGCCGGUGCUUAUUCUUCAGGUACCGUCAUCCUCCCGAGGUAUUAACCCAGAAGAUUUCUUCCCUGACAAAAGCAGUUUACAACCCGAAGGCCUUCUUCCUGCACGCGGCAUUGCUGGAUCAGGCUUGCGCCCAUUGUCCAAAAUUCCCCA